rnacentral:rRNA from 1 species
CCCUUAGAGUUUGAUCAUGGCUCAGAUUGAACGCUGGCGGCAGGCCUAACACAUGCAAGUCGAACGGUAACAGGAAGCAGCUUGCUGCUUUGCUGACGAGUGGCGGACGGGUGAGUAAUGUCUGGGAAACUGCCUGAUGGAGGGGGAUAACUACUGGAAACGGUGGCUAAUACCGCAUAACGUCGCAAGACCAAAGAGGGGGACCUUCGGGCCUCUUGCCAUCAGAUGUGCCCAGAUGGGAUUAGCUUGUUGGUGAGGUAACGGCUCACCAAGGCGACGAUCCCUAGCUGGUCUGAGAGGAUGACCAGCCACACUGGAACUGAGACACGGUCCAGACUCCUACGGGAGGCAGCAGUGGGGAAUAUUGCACAAUGGGCGCAAGCCUGAUGCAGCCAUGCCGCGUGUAUGAAGAAGGCCUUCGGGUUGUAAAGUACUUUCAGCGGGGAGGAAGGUGUUGUGGUUAAUAACCGCAGCAAUUGACGUUACCCGCAGAAGAAGCACCGGCUAACUCCGUGCCAGCAGCCGCGGUAAUACGGAGGGUGCAAGCGUUAAUCGGAAUUACUGGGCGUAAAGCGCACGCAGGCGGUCUGUCAAGUCGGAUGUGAAAUCCCCGGGCUCAACCUGGGAACUGCAUUCGAAACUGGCAGGCUUGAGUCUUGUAGAGGGGGGUAGAAUUCCAGGUGUAGCGGUGAAAUGCGUAGAGAUCUGGAGGAAUACCGGUGGCGAAGGCGGCCCCCUGGACAAAGACUGACGCUCAGGUGCGAAAGCGUGGGGAGCAAACAGGAUUAGAUACCCUGGUAGUCCACGCCGUAAACGAUGUCUACUUGGAGGUUGUGCCCUUGAGGCGUGGCUUCCGGAGCUAACGCGUUAAGUAGACCGCCUGGGGAGUACGGCCGCAAGGUUAAAACUCAAAUGAAUUGACGGGGGCCCGCACAAGCGGUGGAGCAUGUGGUUUAAUUCGAUGCAACGCGAAGAACCUUACCUGGUCUUGACAUCCACGGAAGUUUUCAGAGAUGAGAAUGUGCCUUCGGGAACCGUGAGACAGGUGCUGCAUGGCUGUCGUCAGCUCGUGUUGUGAAAUGUUGGGUUAAGUCCCGCAACGAGCGCAACCCUUAUCCUUUGUUGCCAGCGGUCCGGCCGGGAACUCAAAGGAGACUGCCAGUGAUAAACUGGAGGAAGGUGGGGAUGACGUCAAGUCAUCAUGGCCCUUACGACCAGGGCUACACACGUGCUACAAUGGCGCAUACAAAGAGAAGCGACCUCGCGAGAGCAAGCGGACCUCAUAAAGUGCGUCGUAGUCCGGAUUGGAGUCUGCAACUCGACUCCAUGAAGUCGGAAUCGCUAGUAAUCGUGGAUCAGAAUGCCACGGUGAAUACGUUCCCGGGCCUUGUACACACCGCCCGUCACACCAUGGGAGUGGGUUGCAAAAGAAGUAGGUAGCUUAACCUUCGGGAGGGCGCUUACCACUUUGUGAUUCAUGACUGGGGUGAAGUCGUAACAAGGUAACCGAACCGGUUGGCUCCCCACGCUUUCGCACGUGAGCGUCGUUCUUUGUCAGGGGGGCCG